UCUCUGGCUGUCCAGGGGUUAGGACUCCAUGCUUUCACUGUGGAGGGUCGGGUUCAAUCCCUGGUCAGGGAA
rnacentral:tRNA from 1 species